rnacentral:tRNA from 1 species
CAGAGAAUAGUUUAAAUAAAAUUUUAAUUUUGGAGAUUAAAGAUAAAUAAAUAAAUAUUUUUCUCUGA